UCUUGGUUUCUGAUUGAUUAUGUCACUCAUGGAAGGUCUAGGCACAGCAUGAAAUGUUGCUAAUGUGACAAAAGGAUCAACUGGGGUGAUAUUUGGUCUCGGAACUGUUGGCCUUUCUGUUGCAUAAGGUGCAAAACUAAGGGGAGCAUCUCGAAUAAUUGGCGUGGAUAAGAAUCCACAGAAGUGUGAAAAAGCAAAAGCUUUUGGAUUUACAGAAGUUGUUGACCCGAGUUCCUACCAAGAACCUAUUGCUCAGGUUAUUAAGCGCAUUACUGAUGGCAGAGCAGAUUUUUCUUUCGAAUGUGUAGGUGACACUGACAUGAUAACCACUACAU